UAGGGUUUAGGGUUUAGAGUUUAGGGUUUAGGGUUUAGGGUUUAGGAUUUAAAAAUGUGCUAUUUUGGUCAUUUUAGUUUUUGAGUGCUAUUUUUGUGAUAUAAACUUAGAAAGGUGUUAUUUUGGACAUUUGCCCUUAACAUAUAUGUGACCAUUAAUGAUAAUGAAUAAUACAUAUUUGAUAACAAUUUUUGUUUAAUUUUAUAUUAUUAAAAUAAAUUAAACAAUCACAU
rnacentral:lncRNA from 1 species